GGGUGAAUGUGAUUCUCCCAUCUCAGCUUCCUGAGUAGCUGUUGUGUGCUGUUGGCAAUGCCAUAGUGCUAAGCCCAAGAGGGGUGUGCAGGCCAUGACGCACAGUGCGGCCAUCUAUGUGUCAGAGACCAGGAGUGAGUGGGUCGGAGGACCAGAGCAAACAGUCACCCAGCAAUCUUUUUAGAGUCGAUGUAUGAGCAACAUUUAUGGAAACGAAACAUCCCUGUAGGCUGCCAUCAGUUGUACAAGCAAGGAGUGAGAACGUCUCUGCUGAGUCUUGGGGGACCUCCACACAAAUGGAAAAACAUUACGACUUUAUUCUUAUAUAAAAUUUGACAUUUUGGA